rnacentral:rRNA from 1 species
UCAACGCUGGCGGCGUGCCUAACACAUGCAAGUCGAGCGCGAACGGGGACUUCGGUUCCCUAGUAGAGCGGCGAACGGGUGAGUAACACGUGGGUAAUCUGCCUCCGGGUGGGGAAUAACUCAGGGAAACUUGAGCUAAUUCCGCAUAACGUGGACGAUCACAGGAUCGGCUACCAAAGCUGGGGACCCUUCGGGGCCUGGCGCCUGGAGAGGAGCCCACGGCCAAUUAGCUUGUUGGUGAGGUAAUGGCUCACCAGAUGCUCCGAUUGGUAGCCGGUCUGAGAGGGCGGACGGUCACACUGGAACUGAGACACGGUCCAAACUCCUACUGGAGGCAGCAGUGAUGAAUUUUCGUCAAUGGGGGAAACCCUGAACGAGCAACGCCGCGUGGAUGACGAAGACCUUCGGGUUGUAAACUCCUGUCAGACGGCCACGAAAGUUACCGAGGUCAAUACCCUUGGUAGUUGACGGUACCGUACGAUGAACCCC